UACGUAGGGUGCAAGCGUUGUCCGGAAUUAUUGGGCGUAAAGAGCUCGUAGGCGGUCUGUCGCGUCUGCUGUGAAAACCUGGGGCUUAACCCCGGGCCUGCAGUGGGUACGGGCAGACUAGAGUGCGGUAGGGGAGACUGGAAUUCCUGGUGUAGCGGUGAAAUGCGCAGAUAUCAGGAGGAACACCGAUGGCGAAGGCAGGUCUCCUGGGCAUUAACUGACGCUGAGGAGCGAAAGCAUGGGGAGCGAACAGG
rnacentral:rRNA from 1 species